CCCUAGACCAUCACGGAUGCCGAGCUUCAGAUAACUCUCACAGUAGAAGAUUCAGCCCAUCUGCACCCAGGUGAAAUAAACAGCUUUAUUGAUCACACAAAGCCUGUUUGGUAGUCUCUUCACACGGACGUGCAUGAAAAAUAUAUCAAAAGAGUAUUCGCAUUCCUGUGUUUAUUGCAGCAUUAUUCAAAAUAGCAAGACGUGGAACAACCUGAGUGUUCAUUGACAGAUGAAUGCAUCAAGAAAAUAUGGUACAUAUACACCAUGGAAUAUUAUUCAGCAAUAAAAAAUAAUCAAAUUCUGUCAUUUGCAACAACAUGGUUGGAAUUACAGGUCAUUAUGUUAAGUGAAAUUAUCCAGGAACAGAAAGACACAUCUUCUCACUGAUAUGUGAGAAAAAAAUUAAAUUGAACUCAUAGAGAGUAGAAUGAUUGUUACCAAAACUGGGAAGGGUAGUGGGGAGAGGUAAAUAAAGUGGGAAUUGUUAAUGAGUGCAAAAAUACAAUUAGGUG
ensembl:lncRNA novel transcript